rnacentral:snoRNA from 1 species
AAGACUAUAUUUUCAGGGAUCAUUUCUAUACUUCACUGCUAGAGGAAUUUCUCUGAAGGUAUACAGCACUGAAGACAAACCAAACCCACACC